AUGUUUGUCAAAGUACGACUCUUUCAGCCACAAGAGAUGUCAUCAUUUGAGGUUGGCACCAAUGCUUGGCACACGAUGAUGUGCCAGCCUACCAGUGUGGCCUGCACAUUUACUCCUAUUUUUGUGCACAUGUGAUCUCCUGAGUGGGAAAGCUUGCAAAACCUUGAUUUUCUGUCAUAAGAGUGUCAGGGUUUCUUGUUCAUUUAGCCCAGCCCUCUCAUUGAUAGUCUAGUGGAGUCUUAACGGUUUGCAAGGUUCUGGGUUUUUUUUUUAAGCUGUUGGUGUAUUGUUCGGUUUGGUUUAUGUACAUGCAGCUUGACUGUUUAACCCAGAUUUUUAAAAAUAAAAUGUUAAUGUAUAUUUUAUGUCUGUUUUAUUAAAAUAACUGAGUCAUUUUAACUUACUCAGCAGUAUGUAUGGUUUCUGGAUUUUUUUAUUUUAGUAUCAUGUUUCUGGAAAUAUGUUUUCCUUUGUAUUUUGCAAAAUGUUAGGAUAUUUUGAGCUGCUCUGUACCUGUAUCCUGUGUCUCCUGGCUGUUGCUCUGGGUGAAAUAGUUCUGACUGACUCUCCCUCUGGUUCUUUGACUUGAGUUUCUUCACUAGGUGGGCUGAGAGCCCAUUUGGGAAACUCAAAUCCUUAAGUAUUUUUCAGAAACUUGUUUGUUAGGAAUGAUCUUAACUGUUGUAUAUAGAGAGAGCAAUAAAUUUCAGUGACUGUAUAUUGACCAUUGUAUAUAUGUCUCUAAUGUUUUUCUGCUCUUUAAAUUAGUAUUUAUGACUUUGUUGUUGUUCAGUCACUAAGUUGUGUCCGACUCCGCGACCCCAUGGAUUGCAGCAUGCCCAGGCUUCCCUGUCCUUCACUAUCUCUCCAAGUUUGCUCAAACUCAUGUCCAUUGAGUCGGUGAUGCCAUCCAACCAUCUCAUCCUCUCUUGCCCCCUUCUCCUGCCCUCAGUCUUUCCCAGCAUCAGGGUCUUUUCCAGUGAGUUGGCUCUUUGCAUCAGGUGGCAUUUAUGGUUUUAAGGGAGUGCAUUUAAUCCUAAAGCCUUUUAAAGUUGAAAUUUACUGCUCUCUAGAUAUAUAAGAGUUAAAAUAAUUCCUAAGAAACAAGUUUCUGAAAAAUACUUAAGGAUAAGUAUAAUGUGGUAAUAGUGAAAAGAUGAGAAGUUUCCUUCACAGUUAUUGACCCUAAAGGCAAAUUUCAUCUCUGCUCAUUGUUUUGCUUAUAAUUUUUAAAAGACUCCUGAACCAGUUAAAAAAUUUGAUGAGCGCUAUAGGUCAUCUUCUGAAGAAGAUCCAUAUUUGCAUGCAACAUUACACAUAUAAACCCACAUUUAAAAACUUCUGCACUAGAUUUCUAAAAGUUAUCUUUUUGAGAUUUAUGCUAAAAUAGUUAAGAAUCUGUUUCAAAAUAAUCCAGAGGGAUAGAGAAGGUG
rnacentral:lncRNA from 1 species